GGGCCCGUAGCUCAGCGGCAGAGCAGUCGGCUCAUAACCGAUCGGUCGCAGGUUCGAAUCCUGCCGGGCCCACCU
rnacentral:tRNA from 2 species